rnacentral:tRNA from 1 species
GGCCCCAUCGAAUAAGGGCUAAUUCACCUGUCUUUCAAGCAGGCAAUACGGGUACUCCUUCGGAGAAUGCUCCGCGAACAAGUCCCGUUGGGGCUA